CAGUGUUGAUGCUGGGAGUGAACCAUUGGCUGAAGCUGGAUCUGAGCUUGGUUCCAGUGAGGACAGACCAGACAGCAGCAGAGUUGCGUCGCUGAGUGACUCGGAGAGCGAGCCCGUCCCGAGGAAACGAAGCGGGAGCAGCCCGAUCAGGAGGAGGUUUCCCGACGGUGCUGUGCGGAUCCCAGUUUUCCAGCCGAGUGCCCCUAGGCCGCUGCCGUGUCGGAGCCCGGCCCUGGAGGAGAGACUCAGCCUGGCUGCUGGGAUCCAGGAGCGGAGGAAUACCCUCGACCUAUACCAGCUGACCCACAGCCCCAAGCCGGUGCGGACAGCCGCUGGGGCGGCCGGGAAACUGGAUCGGCAGCAUUCCGAGAGGCCGAUAGCCGAGCUCAACAAGGUGGGUCUGCUGGCCUUGCCCUUCAGGCCCUUGCCCUGGAGUUCUGCCCUGAACCCGAAGCAUUUGGGCUUAUUGAUCUGGUGCUGCCCAGUUGCAGAAGGGCAGCUAAACCCGUGGAGCUGUGUGUUUUUCUGGAGCUGAUUGUGUGCAACCCAUAGGUGCCCUCGCUGUGGCAACACCUUGGCCAACCACAAUCUCGCCACCCCUCGGUGCAGCGUAAAUUGUUGCGAUGUGGCACUCUUGCAAAUUGUCCUGAUGUGUGCCAAAAGCUGCAUCGUGGUAGUUAUUGAAAGCCGAGCUCCUGACAGGCUGAGCGAGGCGUCACCGACUGGGCCCAGUAUUUAUCGCCCAGUCCCACUGCAGUUCCCCUCCCUUCCACUGGAUUCUGUCCCUGAAGGGACAGCCGAUUAUCAUUCCCAGUCGGGGUGCUGUUGGUCUCUGAGGAGAACUUGCAGGAGCUGGGGAUCACCCCCCCCCGCCCCCCCCGCCCAACGUCUGCUGCCAGGGGUGGAUUGUCGGAGGAGCCUCACUGCAGUCCGUCCACGGUACACACUGCUGCCCCUCUGCGUCGGUGUUGGAGCUCAGCCGGGCAUUCCUAAUGAGACCAGCUACCUCAUGGGUGGG